AACUUUGUGACCCAGGCCAACAAGACCGGACUGUGUUUCGAGGAGAAGCUCCCACAGUCGCGCAGAGCACCCGCGGCUUCCCGGCCGGUCGCAGGACCAAGGGGCGACGAUUCCCCGCCCCCGCCGCUCUCAAGAGCACACCCUUUCCUCCGCCCCCCACGCCCGCCUCGGGGGAGCCCGCUAGCGAGCUGCCCCUGCACCUCGCUGACCCGCCCUGCGGCAGCCGGGUUCCUAUCCAGGCUCCCCCACCCCGGGCUGCAGAAGUCAGGGAGCUGGGGUGGCGAAAGAAGACGUAGCAGCGGCAGGGUGGGUCUGGACGCCGCCUCCUCCUCCGGUGGCACCUCGAUCCCCUACUUGCGCUUGACUCCUCCCCUGUCUCUGUUCCGCAGCGUCCUCGCCCUGUCAGCACGCUGCUGGGUGGCUGCACCUGCCGCCGACUCGGGAGGGGGGCCUCGGGGAAGGAGGAAGGGAGGCAGGUUUGGGGAGCGGCGCAGCAGGGUGGCGGCCUCGCCCCGCCUGCAGGCCCGCGCUCCCGCCGCCGCCCGCCGCCGCCGCCCGCCGCCGGCCGCCCGCCCCCAGCUGCCGCACCGAUGCGCUGUCCGCGGUGCUGACGCCCGCCGCCCGCCCGGCGGGAGCGGAGGAGACGCCCUCCUCCCCAGGUCGCCCGGAGCCGAGCGGCCCCGCCCCCAUUCCUGCCCAGGCGGGAUCCUUUCCCCCAAAGGAACCGUCAGAGACCCAGCGCCGCGGAAGGAUCCAGGAAGAAGCAGCGGGCAGGAGGGAACUUCAACUUGGGACUGCAGCCCGGGAGCCGGCUGCUGGAGGACUCGCGCCGUGUGGCCCCCAGCCCCCGAGACCGCAGCGCACAGCAAGUUGAGCAAAGUUUGGCGGCGGCUUGGAGAUACGGAAGGGACUCCGGAGCCAGCUCGGCGGGGCCGCGCAGGGCUCCCACCGCAGCCCGGACACCUGCUUCGGCGCCCGCAGUUAGUGCCGCCGGAACGGCCGGGAGGCGUCGCAGCAGCCCAGCUCCCCACCCCUUUCUUUCCAUCCUUAUCUCCCCCCCCAACACCCCGCCCCGGGCGCCGGUGA
rnacentral:lncRNA from 1 species